rnacentral:rRNA from 1 species
GACGAACGCUGGCGGCGCGCCUAACACAUGCAAGUCGAACGAGCGAGAGAGAGCUUGCUUUCUCAAGCGAGUGGCGAACGGGUGAGUAACGCGUGAGGAACCUGCCUCAAAGAGGGGGACAACAGUUGGAAACGACUGCUAAUACCGCAUAAGCCCACAGGUCGGCAUCGACCAGAGGGAAAAGGAGCAAUCCGCUUUGAGAUGGCCUCGCGUCCGAUUAGCUAGUUGGUGAGGUAACGGCCCACCAAGGCAACGAUCGGUAGCCGGACUGAGAGGUUGAACGGCCACAAUGGGACUGAGACACGGACCAGAGUCCUACGGGAGGCAGCAGUGGGGAAUAUUGCACAGUGGGGGAGACUCUGAUGCAGCGACGCCGCGUGGAGGAAGAAGGUCUUCGGAUUGUAAACUCCUGUUGUUGAGGAAGAUAAUGACGGUACUCAACAAGGAAGUGACGGCUAACUACGUG